AUUGAACGCUGGCGGCAGGCCUAACACAUGCAAGUCGAGCGGCAGCGGGAAAGUAGCUUGCUACUUUUGCCGGCGAGCGGCGGACGGGUGAGUAAUGCCUGGGAAAUUGCCCAGUCGAGGGGGAUAACAGUUGGAAACGACUGCUAAUACCGCAUACGCCCUACGGGGGAAAGCAGGGGACCUUCGGGCCUUGCGCGAUUGGAUAUGCCCGGGUGGGAUUAGCUAGUUGGUGAGGUAAUGGCUCACCAAGGCGACGAUCCCUAGCUGGUCUGAGAGGAUGAUCAGCCACACUUGAACUGAGACACGGUCCAGACUCCUACGGGAGGCAGCAGUGGGGAAUAUUGCACAAUGGGGGAAACCCUGAUGCAGCCAUGCCGCGUGUGUGAAGAAGGCCUUCGGGUUGUAAAGCACUUUUAGCGAGGAGGAAAGGUUGAUGCCUAAUACGUAUCAACUGUGACGUUACUCGCAGAAGAAGCACCGGCUAACUCCGUGCCAGCCGCCGCAGUAACAC
rnacentral:rRNA from 1 species